AUUGAACGCUGGCGGCAUGCCUUACACAUGCAAGUCGAACGGCAGCACGGGAGCAAUCCUGGUGGCGAGUGGCGAACGGGUGAGUAAAGUAUCGGAACGUGCCCAGUCGUGGGGGAUAACGUAGCGAAAGUUACGCUAAUACCGCAUACGAUCUAUGGAUGAAAGCGGGGGAUCGCAAGACCUCGCGCGAUUGGAGCGGCCGAUAUCAGAUUAGGUAGUUGGUGGGGUAAAGGCUCACCAAGCCGACGAUCUGUAGCUGGUCUGAGAGGACGACCAGCCACACUGGGACUGAGACACGGCCCAGACUCCUACGGGAGGCAGCAGUGGGGAAUUUUGGACAAUGGGCGCAAGCCUGAUCCAGCCAUGCCGCGUGCAGGAUGAAGGCCUUCGGGUUGUAAACUGCUUUUGUACGGAACGAAAAGGUUUGGCCUAAUACGCUGAACUCAUGACGGUACCGUAAGAAUAAGCACCGGCUAACUACGUGCCAGCCGCCGCCGUAA
rnacentral:rRNA from 1 species